rnacentral:rRNA from 1 species
UACGUAGGGCGCAAGCGUUGUCCGGAAUUAUUGGGCGUAAAGAGCUCGUAGGCGGUUUGUCGCGUCUGCUGUGAAAUCCCGAGGCUCAACCUCGGGCUUGCAGUGGGUACGGGCAGACUAGAGUGCGGUAGGGGAGACUGGAAUUCCUGGUGUAGCGGUGGAAUGCGCAGAUAUCAGGAGGAACACCGAUGGCGAAGGCAGGUCUCUGGGCCGCAACUGACGCUGAGGAGCGAAGGCAUGGGGAGCGAACAGG